CAGCUGUGUCCAAUGUGUCGACAGGACUGGAAAUUCAAGAGUGACACUGAGGCCAUGGGAACGUGACAACAGUGGGAUCAGUGUGUUCCCAAUCUAGAUCUGUAUCAAUGUGUUAACUUUGAACACUGUGUAAAAAUUGAUGAACUUGUUCAUAUGAGGGGAGAAGUGGAAUGUGUUUUACAUUGGUAUCUUAUUCUUAACCUUGAGAAGUAUGCUGUUUUCCUGGUGCAUUUUGAUUUUGUAACAAUUUUACAUAUAAAUAAAAUGAUUAAAAACUUGAUUAGU
rnacentral:misc_RNA from 1 species